rnacentral:rRNA from 1 species
GGAGGAAAGAACCAACAGGGAUUGCCCCAGUAGCGGCGAGUGAAGCGGCAAAAGCUCAGAUUUGGAAUCGCUUCGGCGAGUUGUGAAUUGCAGGUUGGCGCCUCUGCGGCGGCGGCGGUCCAAGUCCCUUGGAACAGGGCGCCAUUGAGGGUGAGAGCCCCGUGGGACCGUUUGCCUACGCUCUGAGGCCCUUCUGACGAGUCGAGUUGUUUGGGAAUGCAGCUCUAAGCGGGUGGUAAAUUCCAUCUAAGGCUAAAUACUGGCGAGAGACCGAUAGCGAACAAGUACUGUGAAGGAAAGAUGAAAAGCACUUUGAAAAGAGAGUGAAACAGCACGUGAAAUUGUUGAAAGGGAAGGGUAUUGCGCCCGACAUGGAGCGUGCGCACCGCUGCCCCUCGUGGGCGGCGCUCUGGGCGUGCUCUGGGCCAGCAUCGGUUUUUGCCGCGGGAGAAGGGCGGCGGGCAUGUAGCUCUUCGGAGUGUUAUAGCCUGCCGCCGGCGCCGCGAGCGGGGACCGAGGACUGCGACUUUUGUCUCGGAUGCUGGCACAACGGCGCAACACCGCCCGUCUUGAAACACGGACCUCCUGUGUGAAGGGGAUUCCGCUA